GGACGUUUAGCUCAGCUGGUUAGAGCGUACGAUUCACAUUCGUAAGGUCGGUGGUUCGAUCCCACCAACGUCCACCA
rnacentral:tRNA from 1 species